AGAUUGAACGCUAGCGGGAUGCUUUACACAUGCAAGUCGAACGGCAGCGCGGACUUCGGUCUGGCGGCGAGUGGCGAACGGGUGAGUAAUAUAUCGGAACGUGCCCAGUAGCGGGGGAUAACUACGCGAAAGCGUGGCUAAUACCGCAUACGCCCUACGGGGGAAAGGGGGGAUUCUUCGGAACCUCUCACUAUUGGAGCGGCCGAUAUCAGAUUAGCUAGUUGGUGAGGUAAAGGCUCACCAAGGCGACGAUCCGUAACUGGUCUGAGAGGAUGAUCAGUCACACUGGAACUGAGACACGGUCCAGACCUCCGUACGGGAGCAGCAGUGGGAAUAGUUAGGACAAGUGGGACGAAAGC
rnacentral:rRNA from 1 species